rnacentral:SRP_RNA from 1 species
GCCGGGCCUGUAGUCCCACCUACUUGGGAGGCUGAGGCAGGACGAUCGCUUGAGCCCAGGAGUUCUGGGCUGCAGUGCGCUAUGCCGAUCGCGUGUCCGUACUAAGUUCAGCACCAUAUGGUGACCUCCUGGGAGUGGGGGACCACCAGGUUGCCUAAGGAGGGGUGAACUGGCCCAGGUCAGAAACGGAGCAGGUCAAAACUCCCAUGCUGAUCAAAAGCAGUUCUUCUCAAACUCGUAUAGGAACCCCCAGGUGAUCUUGUUAAAUGUGUUUUCUGACUGA